UUUCCGUAGGUUGAGUUCAGCCUGCUGGAGCGGCAGCCGACCGCUAGUCUCUCAGAGGAGAGGCAACACGCCCACUGUGCGGAGAGGCCCUUCAGGCAACCCGCAGCUGUUCGUAGAAGCAGCUCAGAGGCUCAAUAGGCGUGGGCGCAGCACCAACCGCUGUGUUUGAGAUAGAGUCCACCUCCGCUGGCAAUAGCGGGGAGCAAGUGGAACCUGCGGAAGGAUCAUUACAGAAUAUACUUAUUCUCACCCUAUGUAUACAGAACUCUUGUUGCCUCGGCGCGCGUCUGCGUCAGAGGACCUAAACGCUGAAAUUAUACUGUCUGAGUCGCUAUGCAAAUAGUCAAAACUUUCAACAACGGAUCUCUUGGUUCGG
rnacentral:misc_RNA from 1 species